AAAGGAGCUACAUAAAGACAUAUUGACAUUUUUUUUUUAAAUAAAUGAUUAUACUUAUCAAAAUUAACUCAGAAUCAAUUAUAUUGAUAAAAUUUAGGAUUGGAAUAUUGGAAUUCAAAUCGGUCCCAAAUUUUAAUGGGGAAUGGGAUUUUUUUAAAUUUCUUUCAUUCUUAGAAACUCAUAGCUUAUUGAAUAACAGCAGCUUCUAAGCUGCUCUCCUCUCAAACAUUCUUCAACGGUCUUUCACGAACUAGUGAUGGUGUUAUACUUAGAUUGAAUGUAAAUGUGGGACUUAAAAUCGGUCCUGUGCCACUUCCCGUCUCGUCCUACUCAUUGAUCCUAAAAAAAGGCUAAUUCAAUGUUCAAAGACUAACAUCAAAUAUGUAUAAAUACGAAGCUGCAAUCAAGCUUACGAACAUUGGUAGUAAUGACAAUUUGAAGAAUGUUAUAGAGGAGAUUAGCUAUAAUCAGCUGUGACAAGGAAGGAGGGGGAGAAGGAUAUAAACAUGGACAUUGGCAAAAAUUACUCCGAUGUCGAUCCCCAAUUCAACUCUGAGUCCAACAAGAACUUACAAUUAUAACUCCACAACAAAUCUGCAAGUUUACUCUCAGUCUUUUAUGAGUAUAUCUGAUUUUUCAAUGAGGUUUUAUAUACACUUAUAACCGGUGAUCGUUAGAGCAGAUUAUGUCACGUAGUAAGAUUAAAAAUCCCACGCCGACCAUAUUUAAAAGACCGGAACUGCUUGAACCGCUAGACCGAUAAGGAAAUAACCUCGCAUAUUUCUAAUAUAUAACAAAAUUAGGCAUUAGAUGGAUAGAUUUUUGAGAUAGUAAGGUUUAGGUCCUUUUAUUUGUUGGUCCCAUUUUGACUUCCAAUUGUUCACCAUUUUCCUUUAUAUAUUAAUGAAAAAAUGUGUUUCAUUGUUAUAAAACUUAGUUGUUUAGGCUCUAAAAAUGGCCACCAUCAACAAUACUGACGUUACGCUCUACACUUUGUUCUUUAAGGAGCAUCAAGAAGGUCCGAAGUCCAGGUCUUAUUUUGACAUCAAAAUACAAAGCAUUAUUUCACCAUUUCAUUAAAAUGAUUGGAAAAAUAAGAUUUUUUAUAGAUAUAAAACAUAUGUCUUUAAAUCUCUAAAAUAUGUUCUAUAUCCAAAUUUGGGUUACUCAUUAGAAAAUUAAUGUACAGUACACUAUAUCAUUAUUAACUAACAUCGACAUAAUAUAUAAUUAAUAGGUACCUAUAACUCGCUUUAUAAACGGAUGGGUUUUAUGAGUUUAUAUCAAUGUAAUUCAAAAAGAACUAAAUAAAUUUGGAAAAUAAUGUUAAAUUCCAAUUAUUCUUAAUUAAGACAAGCUUCAUUUCAGUGUAUAAAUGUAUUCUGUGAUUAGAUAUAAAUUAAUAAAUUAUGA
rnacentral:lncRNA from 1 species